rnacentral:rRNA from 1 species
AUUGAACGCUGGCGGCAGGCUUAACACAUGCAAGUCGAGCGGAGAUGAGGUGCUUGUAUCUUAUCUUAGCGGCGGACGGGUGAGUAAUGCUUAGGAAUCUGUAUAUUAGUGGGGGACAACAUCACGAAAGGAAUGCUCAGACAGCAUACGCGCUAAGGGGCACAGAAGGGGAUCGUCGCACAUUGCGCGAAUAGAAGAGCUUCAGUCGGAUUAGCUAGUUGGUGGGGUAAAGGCCUACCAAGGCGACGAUCUGUAGCGGGUCUGAGAGGAUAAUCCGCCACACUGGGACUGAGACACGGCCCAGACUCCUACGGGAGGCAGCAGUGGGGAAUAUUGGACAAUGGGCGGAAGCCUGAUCCAGCCAUGCCUCGUGUAUGAAGAAGGCCUUUUGGUUGUAAAGCGCUUUAAGCAAGGAGGAGUCUACUUAGAUUAAUACUCUAGGAUAGUGGGCGUUACUCGCAGAAUAAGCACCGGCUAACUCUGUGCCAGCCGCCGCAGUAACAC